rnacentral:rRNA from 1 species
GACGAACGCUGGCGGCGUGCCUAAUACAUGCAAGUAGAACGCACAGUUUAUACCGUAGCUUGCUACACCAUAGACUGUGAGUUGCGAACGGGUGAGUAACGCGUAGGUAACCUGCCUGGUAGCGGGGGAUAACUAUUGGAAACGAUAGCUAAUACCGCAUAAUAUUAAUUAUUGCAUGAUAAUUAAUUGAAAGGUGCAAUUGCACCACUACCAGAUGGACCUGCGUUGUAUUAGCUAGUAGGGGAGGUAACGGCUCACCUAGGCGACGAUACAUAGCCGACCUGAGAGGGUGAUCGGCGAAACUGGGCUUGGGACACGGCCCAGACUCCUACGGGAGGCAGCAGUAGGGAACCUUCGGCAAUGGACGAAAGUCUGACCGAGCAACGCCGCGUGAGUGAAGAAGGUUUUCGGAUCGUAAAGCUCUGUUGUAAGAGAAGAUCGGGUGUGAGUGUGGAAAGUUCACACUGUGACGGUAUCUUACCAGAAAGGGACGGCUAACUACGUG